AUUGAACGCUGGCGGCAUGCCUUACACAUGCAAGUCGAACGGUAACAGGUCUUCGGAUGCUGACGAGUGGCGAACGGGUGAGUAAUACAUCGGAACGUGCCCGAGAGUGGGGGAUAACGAGGCGAAAGCUUUGCUAAUACCGCAUACGAUCUCAGGAUGAAAGCAGGGGACCGCAAGGCCUUGCGCUCACGGAGCGGCCGAUGGCAGAUUAGGUAGUUGGUGGGAUAAAAGCGUACCAAGCCGACGAUCUGUAGCUGGUCUGAGAGGACGACCAGCCACACUGGGACUGAGACACGGCCCAGACUCCUACGGGAGGCAGCAGUGGGGAAUUUUGGACAAUGGGCGCAAGCCUGAUCCAGCCAUGCCGCGUGCAGGAUGAAGGCCUUCGGGUUGUAAACUGCUUUUGUACGGAACGAAAAGACUCUGGUUAAUACCUGGGGUCCAUGACGGUACCGUAAGAAUAAGCACCGGCUAACUACGUGCCAGCCGCCACGGUAACAC
rnacentral:rRNA from 1 species